rnacentral:rRNA from 1 species
CCUACGGGGAGCUGCAGUGGGGAAUAUUGGACAAUGGGCGAAAGCCUGAUCCAGCCAUGCCGCGUGUGUGAAGAAGGCCUUCGGGUUGUAAAGCACUUUCAGUGGGGUAGAAAGCCUUGGGGCUAAUACCCUCGAGGAAGGACAUCACCCACAGAAGAAGCACCGGCUAACUCCGUGCCAGCAGCCGCGGUAAUACGGAGGGUGCGAGCGUUAAUCGGAAUUACUGGGCGUAAAGCGCGCGUAGGCGGUCUGAUAAGCCGGUUGUGAAAGCCCCGGGCUCAACCUGGGAACGGCAUCCGGAACUGUCAGGCUAGAGUGCAGGAGAGGAAGGUAGAAUUCCCGGUGUAGCGGUGAAAUGCGUAGAGAUCGGGAGGAAUACCAGUGGCGAAGGCGGCCUUCUGGACUGACACUGACGCUGAGGUGCGAAAGCGUGGGUAGCAAACAGGAUUAGAUACCCUGGUAGUC